AAACAAUAAAAAUGUUCACUGAUACACACAACAGAAGUAACUAAAAAUAUUUCUCAUUAGAGCAACUCCAACAAUAAGUGUUAUUUGAAUUUGCUAUUCUCAUUCUAGCACUUAUUGUGGCACUAUUUAUAUUUCAUUAAUUUUCCAUCUCCAACAAUAAGGUGUUAUAUGGAGCAGUGGCAGAUCUAGAAUUUAAAGAUGGGGUGAGCUUGAACUUUGGCCGAAGGGCAAAAAAAAAAAAAUUCCAGUACAACCAUGCAAAAUGUAGGAGCUCAACCAGAACUUACAAUUUCAGAUUCUAUAUAAGAAGAAGAAGAUUAGAAGGUUAUACUUGAGGAUUUUCAGAGAUUUAAGAAGAGUAAUAACCCAACAACCCCAACAAAUUGAACCAAUGAAAUUCAAUUAUCAUACUUACAACCAUGUAUUAAAUAGAGGAAGAAGAGGAUUACAAGAGUUAGGUAACUAAGAUUAAAGAGUAGAGCAUCUGAGAAAUUGAGGAAGUGAGGGACUGAGAAAUUGAAGAUUGGAGGCAAAUCGUUGAGUGAAGGAUUGAGAAAUUGAAGAAGAGAAGGGAGGGAUUGUAAUCAGGCGUUGAGGGCCGGUGGCAAGUCGUUGUCGGGGAGUACCAGAGGAGGCCGGGAAGAAGGAGAUUAUGGUGAAGCCGUGGAGGACUGGAGGGGAGUGGAGGCGGAGGGGAAGAGGGAUAGGUCAUAGGUCAUACGUGUUUUAGUGUUUAAGUUGAAGGAGGGUGAUUGGGUGAAGGAGGAGGUUGAGGACUUGAGGCAAGUCUGAUGAGUGAGGCCUCAAGGUUGAGGACUUGAGGCAAGUCUAAUCCACAAGAGAUGGAGAAUGAGAUUGUGGACUUGGGUAGUUGGGUGGGUUGGGCUUGAUCACUUGGUGGCUGGGCAUAUAUGAUAUAUCCCAAAAUAUAUAUAUAUAUAUAUACCUUAGUUUUUUUAUUUUUUGCCCAAUUUCUUUGGUUGGGCUUGAGCCCCACCCACUUCUAUACUGCCUCUGCGCCUGAUAUGGAGGUGCUAUUCUCACUAUUCCAACAAUGAGCUAUUCUCAUUUUAGCACUUAUUGUGACACUUCAUAUUUCAUUAAUUUUUCAUCUCCAACAAUAAAAUGUUAUAUGGAGGUGUUAUUCUCAUUAUUCCAACAAUGAGGUAUUGUAUCAUGUGAGGCGUGUACUUGUGAAGCCCACAGGGGGCUGGUCUUAGAAAAAGUCAUGAAUAUAAGACUUGGGAUGACACUUGGGGCUAUAUUAUUAAGACCAAUACCUAAUCUUUUUUACUGUUGGAGAUAACUUUUUUUAUUUCAUGGGUUGGUCUUGGUUUUUAACUCUACCGUUGGAGUUGCCCUUAAGAAUUAUUACACAAGACUUCAAAAACCUGGAACUAGAAAAGUUAAAACUCAAACGCAAGAUUUUUUUUUUCUUUAUCCAAAAGGACUUUCCACUUCUUAUAAAUCUCAUCUGUCACAUUGUGGAUACAAAAUUUGACCAUAAAAAAUUUAAAAAAAAAAAAAAAUAACAUUAAGUCUGUUUAGCAUAUCCUCAACCAAGGAUAAUUUAAUCCAUCCAGCCUUAUAUCCAAUGCCAAACAACAGCUUCAUGUAAUGACUAUCAAUCUACAGGGCGUUAAGCAGAAUUUAAAUGUCAUAUAGAAGUAUAAGUUAUGCCAUGUAUUUGAAUUACUCUGACAGUCAGUUACCCGCCUCAAUCUACAGGCUCCAUCAGUUGAAUGGACCUGUCCAUGUCUCAGAGACACCAUCAGAUGGGUUGCCGAUGCUUGAACAAAUCAAAAUCAUCGCAAUUCAACAGUGAAAACUGAAAACGCAGGUGUGAAGGUUUUGAAAAGGAAUUUCCAACGGAAUUGCUAGCGUAGACUACUCUCCUUAACACCUACUCAAAAUGGGAAACUUGAAACCGAAAGCAUUGUUCUGUAGUUUUAUUGUGUUCAGCAAGCUUGUAUGUUGGAAGAUACUGAAAUCAGAUGUCACAUUCAGUUGCAUCUUAUAUGAAUAACCGUGCCAUAGAGGCAGCUUUAGAACAGAAUAAACUGAUUACUCACUGAUCAACUAAUAAUCUGAUAAGAUUUCCAUCUUUAUGUUUAGCUGGAAAUGAAGAGUUUAGCAUCAUGUACAGUUCAAGUAAAAGCCGCUCGGCACUAUGGGAGUCCGUUCACUGCUAGCCUGCUACCAAUAGUAUCUUCAUAAGUUGUAAGUUGAAGUCUAAUAUUAGAGAUUACCAUUGUUUGACAAUAUGAUAAUCUGUAAUUACACAGAUUAUAUUCCUCUCCCCUGUUCAUUUCUCUGAAGUGUCAGGUGUUAGGUCUCAACAAGGAUUCAGUGCUUCGAGAAGGAAAAGAAACGGAAAUAGAGCACGUUUUGAGCCUACUGGUGUAGACAUAAGUUACAAAAACGAAAACCGUUGUUCCAGUAGUAAAACUGUGCAGAAAGCAACACUUCUUUUUUCUUUCUUUUUUUGGUUAAAAACGAAGCCAAAACGGAUUAGACUAAAAGGAAAAACAAACUAGAUACUAAAGCAAGCACCAGUUCUUCUGGCCCUAGUAACAGCAGAAAGAUCAUCCAAGAAGCUUUGAGGAGCAUGCGCAGGAGGACAGUUGAAGAUAACUAAACCAAACUCAUGUGUGAUGCAGCAUUUAGCAAGGCAAUCAGCAGUCAUAUUGCACUCUCUGAAAACAUGGGAUAACCUUGAGACAUUCAUCUUGUUCAUCAAGGCACUGCAGCCAUGAAGGGACCCCAAAGGAUGAGAUCAAGGUGGGAAUUAUACAUAAGUUGAACCAGAACAGCAGAGUCUGAUUCAAGAAAGUAACACUUCAUGCUUUCUGCUCUUCUAUUUUCAUUAACAAAGAAAACUACAAGAUAUUUUAUGUAAGAAAAAUGGCCUGUGUACAUUGGUUUACAAAAAAGAAAGUGGCAGUGUUUGGCAGCUGAGCUCUAUCUUAUAUUAUUGCUGAUGGCUAAGCUUAAAUUGCUUAUUUAUCCUCAACCCCAGCACCGAAUAUGCAUAUGUCACAGUUGCAGCUACAACAGAGACCCCAAUGUAUACACAUACGGUGGUAGUACAAACAUAAAUGUACCUGCAGAAAAAAUGUAUACAAUAAAUUCCAGCCUGAGUAAAGUAAAUAGCAGCAGUGGACUGCCUGUAGCUAUAUCAAGUGCAUCAAUUAUCUUGUUCUGGAUUCAUUGGUGUUUCAUAUUUGUAGAAUACUGAUUAGUUAAUUUGUAUGGAGCUUAGCCAGUUACCCCUCUCUUCUUUAACCUCUUUAACUCUUUUUGUACUCCAUAUAUUUUCAAUAUAUUACCCUUUUCUAUGUAAAUCUGUAACAGAAAACCUUGUCCAACAUGCAUUAGUAUCAUAAAAGUUUUGUACUGCAUCUUUCAAUGAAUUAUUGUAGUUUUAUUUAUUUAUUAUACUUUAUUCAAAAAGCAAAUAAAUAAAAAAUAAAAUAACUAAUCACUUCUCUUUGAAAAGCACAAAAGAAGAAAGCAAGGAACAUCGCCUACUAUAAGACUGAAGCAGAGAGGACUUACUUUGGAGAAAAGACGCUCCAAAUGUAAAGAUGGUUCCUCAUAACCAACAAUACGAUGGUGUACACUGUCAAUAGAAUGGAGUCCAAGCCCAGUGGAACUAGACAAGGAAAGCCAAUAAUCAUUUUGAGUAGUUGUCUUGAAUCUGCAUCAGACGGAGAUAUGAAAUAGCUUGUAUCCUUCAAAGAGAUAUACAUCACCAUGCUAAGAAUAAAUAGCAUUGGGGAAGCAUAGGUGAUAAUGAACAUUAAAAUUCCAGAAAGUACUGUCGAGUGACUUGAGAUGCCCUAGCAACAAGAACAAUGUUUGAAUGUCAAUUUUCAAAUCUCAAAUGCAGAGCAAUGUGUACCCAAUAUAGUUCUUUUUAAUAUGCACCAUGCAAGGGGUAAAGAGACAUACAAUAAAAGCUCCGGCAACAUCAAUAGUAGCUAGAGAAUUGCUGUUCCCUAAAGCAUAAUGGCCUGCCAUUCCCAAAAAGUAAAAUGCAGAAACCUAAAUGAACAAAGCACAAGUAUGAGUAGAAUAUAAAUUAGGAUUGGGACUAAACAAAACAAGGUAGAGGUUGAUUGCUAGAAUGUUAUGUUGACAAACUGGGAAGAAUUCAGUCCCCAGUACACAUUAAAAUAUCCGGCAACAAAACCUACCGGGCUGUGGCAAGAGACCAUCUUCGGAAAAAAUAAUAAUAAUAAUAAUUCAAUGCAGCACACCCCGCACACGUAUUUAAAAAUGAUACUACAUGGUACAAUUCAAGAUCUAGACUGAAUAUCAUCUAAUAUGAUGACAUAGGGUCAGAGUAGAAGAAUUUCACCAUCAACUACUUGCUUGUCAACAUUAUGAGGACAACUAUGCUACACAUUUCUUAACUAUUUAAUGGUUAUUUGAACUGCUUACUUCACAGAGUAAGAACUGCGUGGCAUAAUAGCCUUUUUUUUUCUUUUCUUUUUGGCAAUGCAUAAUGGCCUUUUAUUGACAUACCAGUCACUACCAAAACCCAGCACCAAUAUUAACUUGACUUCAAUACACUCAACUUUGAAAUCAGUAUAUCCUCAAGACAAGAUGAUAUUGAAACUGACCUCAACCCACUGCUUGUGGUGCCGCCCAUUAUACGAAAAAUACAUCAUGCUGGCCAAAGUUUGCACAAGUAGCAGGAGUAUAGGCAUUGAGUUAACUGUCUGUUGGAGCAAAAGCUGCAGAAGACACCAGCAGGAUAUGUAUGCCCACCCAAUUACAUAUAAACAUUCUCUCAACUGCACCAGCAGUGACUUAUUCUGGACUUCACUGGGAGCAGAUGUCGACAUAUACGCAUCAUGACUCAAGUAGGUCUCAGAUAUUGAAAUUGGUACAAGCCAUGGCAAGGAAAUAACUGUCCCACUUGUGGAAACACUCAGGACUGCAUAAAUCAUUUGUACCAAUGCAGUAGAACUGUGACUGGAUGCCCCAAACAUCUCAUCCUGAUGUUUGAGGAUAUGUUGCAAAACCAACAACCCAGACAUAAGAAAGCUAAAUCCAAUGACCAGAACUAUAUUUUUGUUUGAUCCAUAUAAAAAGAGAGCGUAGAAGCUUAAGGCGAUCACUAGAAGGCAUGUGACUAGCUGAACUGAUUUUACAUUAUUGUUCCCAGCCUGCUCAAGCCACUUGGAUAUGUCAGGAAGAUUAAUCCAAUUCACGCCGCCUUGGUGCCAACCUCUCAAUAUCCUCCCAGAAAUGAGAAGCACAAAGACGGAACUCAUUUGAAGACCACUUCUCUUGUUUUGUCCCUUGGAAUAACUAUGUACACUACUUUGCAUUGCUUUACGCAAACAUAUCAACUGCAAUGUGGAAGCCAUGAAAUGCCAAAUAUACUGCUCUUCCUCUACCAAAGAACUUGAUGUCAUACAUACAAUGAGAAUCAUUAUAACACCCAAUACAAAAGUCUCUUCUAGACACCAGGUCUGCAUGAUGCUCUUCAAGUCAAAAAGACAUUGCAUCUCUCUAGUGUGGGCUUCUUUGUAGAUGCGAAACAGAAGGCUUAACAGUAUCAGACAAGAUAGGAGCAUUGCCACUAUGCCAAAAGUAAGCAGGCUUACAGGUUUCUAGAAAAUAAAAAGAUUUGUCAGAAUAAAUAAAAUAAAUUAAGAGAAAAAAAGUAAUGUUAAAGAAACCAAUUAUAGUAGAAAAAAAUGAAAAUUUCUCCAUGAGAAACCAGUACCACCUAUGUUCAUCUUUAGAAGGGAGAAAAGAAUAUACAUACAUCAGUUGCUCUGCGUGAUAGCCACUCACUUGCAGUUCUCAGAAACUCAUAGUAUGCUGCAACACUGCUGGUGUAGUCUUUCCUACUAUUAUACCUAUUCACAUAAUUAUAAAGUAAGACUGGCAUUAAAGUGGAUCCUUAUGGAAUUUUGUAACAUGAUAAAAGUAUAAGAUAGUUUCAUGUAUCCACCUGGAGACUUCCUUAGACAUCCAGGACUUUUUGAGAAGAGCAGCAUUUGUAUAUAAGCAGCAGCAUAUCCUUUCAAUACUCCCAUAACACUUGGUUAUUCUGGACUCUUGAUCACCACCUGAGCCAUCAUAUGGAUGAUUUCGACAUGAUAAACCAGGUAUUUGUGCUUGCAAUAAUCUAAGUAAUUGCCAGGAAUUCAGCUCCAGUGCCUUCAGCUGUUGGUCUUCUUUACUCACAAAGACAAGAAAGCAUCAUUAGAUUUUAUACAAAGUCACAAACUCAGUAGUACAUGGGAAUUGAGGCAGACAAUUUUGUAGAAAUUUCAGGCUACAAAAUAUAUACUACAUUUAACAUUUAAUUUUAACAAGCUCUACUGUAUAAACUGAAAAUAUACAUCAUUGUAAGUGUCGUGACUUAACUUUUCAAUGUUAAUUCAGUCUAAAAAAAUAUAUAUUUUAAAACCACAUGCUGUUGGGAUAUUUUUUUAUUUUCUUCAAAAAAAAUAGCAUCCCUGAAGAAUAUACACGAGAGUGAUGAGACCCUUUUUAAGAAGAAAAAUCGGUGAAUGCAUAUCUCAAGCGAAAAUGGUAUGGUGUGCCUGUUACAGUAUUAUUGUUUAUUGAUGCUCAAUUUGUAAUUAAAUAUAUAAACUUUCUCAAUCUAUGCACACGAUAAUGCACACAUUGUUUAGGAGACAAAUCUAAGUACACAUCAUUCUUUCAGUGUCUUACACAACCAACCAGGUACACGCACACCAUUCUAUAAUGCGUAGUAUACAUAAUACACACAGACAUUCAUAUAUAUCUCNNNNNNNNNNNNNNNNNNNNNNNNNNNNNNNNNNNNNNNNNNNNNNNNNNNNNNNNNNNNNNNNNNNNNNNNNNNNNNNNNNNNNNNNNNNNNNNNNNNNNNNNNNNNNNNNNNNNNNNNNNGGCGGACUCGCCAGGGAGGGAAAGUGGUCGGGGAAGCUGCUGGAGUCCGCUAGGGUGGAGGCGCAUCCUCGCCGGUGCCGUACGGUGGCGAACGGAGGGAAAUCCGCACCUUAAGGCGGUGCGGACGUCCGUAUCUGAAACGAACUGUAUAUAUAUAUAUAUAUAUAUAUAUAUAUAGAGAGAGAGAGAGAGAGAGAGAGUACCACUCAAAGACCCAAAGAUUUCUGGAAUCAGGACACCAACAUUGUUCUUUGGAAUUGGCACGCCUAAUAGUAGAGCUAAAGUUGGUGCAAUGUCAACCUGGACAACCACAAACGCAAUGCAGGUGAGAGAGGAAGAAGUCGGCAUAAUAUAAUUUCAUAUCACCAUUCUGCAGACUAAAAAACAAAUUAUUUUGAGUGACAAAAAUGUGUUGGUCAUAUACUUCUUUCUCUAGUCCAGCAAGAUAAAUUAUGUUCAGUUCAAUGAAUCUAGGAAGCUUAAUAAUGCUGCAAUUUUAUAACAAUGCAAUUCUAUGAUUACCUGGUAAAUAUUGUUAUGGGUAGACGACAAAUAAUCAGAGACAUCAUUUUUCAGGCCAAUAAAUAGUGCUAAGGAGUCUGUUUCUUCAUAUGAGGACCCUCCAUGAUUACCACUCUCAGUCAUGCCAUGGUCACUUACUAUGACCUAGAUAAGAAAAUCAUAAUAGAGACAUAUUAAUGAUUAGUUAUAGUUCGUGGAUGACAACAGAUAGAGCAGAAAGAAAAAAANNNNNNNNNNNNNNNNNNNNNNNNNNNNNNNNNNNNNNNNNNNNNNNNNNNNNNNNNNNNNNNNNNNNNNNNNNNNNNNNNNNNNNNNNNNNNNNNNNNNNNNNNNNNNNNNNNNNNNNNNNNNNNNNNNNNNNNNNNNNNNNNNNNNNNNNNNNNNNNNNNNNNNNNNNNNNNNNNNNNNNNNNNNNNNNNNNNNNNNNNNNNNNNNNNNNNNNNNNNNNNNNNNNNNNNNNNNNNNNNNNNNNNNNNNNNNNNNNNNNNNNNNNNNNNNNNNNNNNNNNNNNNNNNNNNNNNNNNNNNNNNNNNNNNNNNNNNNNNNNNNNNNNNNNNNNNNNNNNNNNNNNNNNNNNNNNNNNNNNNNNNNNNNNNNNNNNNNNNNNNNNNNNNNNNNNNNNNNNNNNNNNNNNNNNNNNNNNNNNNNNNNNNNNNNNNNNNNNNNNNNNNNNNNNNNNNNNNNNNNNNNNNNNNNNNNNNNNNNNNNNNNNNNNNNNNNNNNNNNNNNNNNNNNNNNNNNNNNNNNNNNNNNNNNNNNNNNNNNNNNNNNNNNNNNNNNNNNNNNNNNNNNNNNNNNNNNNNNNNNNNNNNNNNNNNNNNNNNNNNNNNNNNNNNNNNNNNNNNNNNNNNNNNNNNNNNNNNNNNNNNNNNNNNNNNNNNNNNNNNNNNNNNNNNNNNNNNNNNNNNNNNNNNNNNNNNNNNNNNNNNNNNNNNNNNNNNNNNNNNNNNNNNNNNNNNNNNNNNNNNNNNNNNNNNNNNNNNNNNNNNNNNNNNNNNNNNNNNNNNNNNNNNNNNNNNNNNNNNNNNNNNNNNNNNNNNNNNNNNNNNNNNNNNNNNNNNNNNNNNNNNNNNNNNNNNNNNNNNNNNNNNNNNNNNNNNNNNNNNNNNNNNNNNNNNNNNNNNAUAAAUCAUCCACACUUGGAACUACCCAGUAGAGGCAGUUUUCUAAGUAUCGUUAUUAAAAUAUUUUGGGUAUUUAACAAUGUGGCAGAGUAAAAGUACAAAUAUUCAUCACAUCAGUUAUCUACAAGUUUAUACCUACGCAGUGUUAUGUACGAGUUUAUAACUACAGUGUUAUCUACUAGUUGAGGCUAACCAGAAAAUCCCAGUCAUCUCUGCUAAGCUCAUGACUGAGAUGUCGAGAAACAUUUUGAUCCACCUGUACUGUAUCUUUGACCUGUAGCAAAAGUACACAUACGGUACAAGUCAGGGUAUAAAUAAAUCUUCUUAACACCCUUAAACACAAAAAUGACCGACACGACUUCAAGCUUAAGAUGACUAAUAUAUUGAAAAGGUGAAAAAUUGCAUGACAACUGGCAAACCAAAAAUGGCAGUGUCCUAUAGAUACUCCAUAAGCUUCAAAGAAGACGUAUGCAAGCACACAAUGUUGGUGGUCAAAAGACUUACAAAGAAACUGCUGACUCCAUCAUGCCUCAUAAAUAAUCCUGGAAACAACUUGAGCCAUGUUUCAUCACCGAGCAUCACCAUUUUCCACCCAAUCUUGAAAAACUGGCCUGUGAGGCAAAGAAGUGGACAAGUAAAGUUGCAAUUCUGGACCGUCUCAAAAACAUUCAAGAGCUAAUAUAGCUUGCUAGUAUCGACUUACCCAGAAGAUUGUCAUCCACCAUAGCUUGUGUGUUAAAAUUCAAAGCCACAUCAAGGAAUCCCCCAAUUGCUCCAGAAACCAUAGCCUGCAAACCAAACCAAAGGCUGAUGAGAAAGCAGAUUUCCACAAGAAUAAUCAUCUGCACAUCAAAACAUUGCAAGAGACGCGACCUUCAAACGUGGCAUUGUAACAGUUGGAGGUGCGGCUUUAGCAUGGUACCCAACUGCCAUCCCAUUUCCAAGCAGUGACUGAGUAUACGGCAUAGCCUCCAUCAAGUUCUUGUUUGGAGGCUCACCAUCCUUGCCUAGAACAAACUCAGCCGGAAGACCAUCAAUAACCUAAACUGCCAUGAUCAUACAGAAAAUAACACGUCUUAUAAUCAACCAACACAUAUCGAAAAGAUGCAGAAAUCUCGAAGAAACUGGUUUUACAUUAGGAAACUAACCAUACCAUCAGUAUAAGCCUGUCAAAUGCAGGUGGGAUUCCAGAUAGUUCCUACAUUGCCAAAUACAACAAACCUUCACACUUUGACACAUUCAUUGCAUUCCGCACAAGUUCAAAAUUUGAUUGCCAAAUCAAAUAUAAUCAAGAGAAAAGCAGUAAACUUUCAGAAACCCAAAAUUUCUGAAGUGAAAAAUUACCCAAAUGCAGAGUAAAAAAACAACAAAAAAAAAAAACAAACCUUAUAGAGUGACCUGAGCUGAUGAGGAGGCACAUCACUCUGGCUCUCAUUUCGAUUUGAAUUGCAAGUGGGUUCUUCAAAACUCUCCGGACCACUUAAUCAUCAACAAAGUUACCACAUUUGAAUCAAAAUCACAACCCAAAAAAGAAAAAGAUUCAAUUUUUUUGUGCUUGGGUUUCUAUUUUUUCUGGGUUUUGUUUCAUAGAGAGAGAGAGAGAGAGAGAGAGAGAAGGGUACCUGUGGCCAGGAAGGGUAGGCUUGACGGGGAAGAAGCCGAAGACGAAGAGAGAGAGGCCGACGAGUUGGAUUGCGACUCCGGCGACGGUGAAGAGGGUCAGCUUGGUGCAGGAUAAUCCGGGCAUUGUUGAUUUCAAAGGUUGGAGCUUUGAAGAAGAAGAAUUUGAUGAAAGAGUGUUCCUACUAUUUUGGAUCCAACUGAAUAUGGAAGCACCAAGCAAUAUAUACUAGACCAGUCACUCUCGUGUCAAGAAUCUCAAAAUGGAAGGUCUAUGAAAUAUUUUUACCUGGUCUAGAUUUUAACUGUGGGCUUUAUUGGUUUUAUGUUUUUACCGAGUUAUGUGUUUUUCUCUUUGAUCACCACAAACAGCUUGGUAGAUUAGACUGUGCGUUGGAGGGUUCUCAACGAUCCACACUGGUCUCGACCCUCAACUCAUUUUGUUCAUUUGAAAAACAAAAGAAUGUGGCUUUGGUAAAGUCCUGCCCAACUAAAUCAAAAUGAGAAAGAACCACUCAAUUGUCAUCGAGUAAAGUAGCAUUACAUAUGAAGCUCUAGAGUGAGGGUUGCAACAGUAAUCUAAUCAUAAAGAGUCUUAGCAAAUUGUAUAAAUUAUUGAAUUACGUCAACAAAACAUACAUAAAAACUCAAUAAGCGCCAUUAAAGUCAAAUAAUAAGCGCCAUUAAAGUCAAACUUCAUUGCUUAUUUGCUCAACAAGCGGUCUUCAUUUAGAAAGAUAAAAAUUGGUUGCUGAGUGAGCUAUCAUUUUGUGAUCAAAAACAAUUUAGGUAUGACCAUCUCCGUUGUUCUCCUCAUCUCACCAAGAGAACAUAUGCAACAUCCACCUCACGUGAAAUUUAGCAUGCUUCCACUAAACCAACCCCGGUUAUUCAUUUAAUUUGCAAUGAUUUGUAAAACUGACUAUUUUUGAAAAUUACUGAUGAGGUAAAAAUCCCAACUUAAAUAGUGAUUAGGGCACUGAUUGGGUGAUUAAAACAUACUUUACUAAAAGAAAAGAAAGUGACUAAAGAUAACCCAUCUGGUACACCACCAUUGGUCCUUUGGCCUAUAGCGUAGACCAAAACCCAGCUUCCAUUUUCUUCUUCCUCUAUCUGAAUCGAAGUAGAAGACCUCAUUAGGGUUUCAUUCCAAUACGAAAACCCUAAAUUACCUUACUUUCCUGAAAAUGAGAGAACAACUCUAACUGGGUUAAUUGCCAGUCGGCUUUUUCUGUUUUCCGAUAACCCAAUCCGACGUCGUUUGAUUCCCAGUACCCAUAUAUAUUAUCUGAUCUCUCAUCGAAUUGGGUAAGUAAAUUUCUGUUCUUUUUCGAUUUGGAUUGGAUUUUAUGGAUCAAAGUUGAGAUUUUUAGGUGUUGAAUUGCAGGCAUGGAAUUGGGUUUGACUUGGUUCAAACUUGAAAUUGAAGCUGAUUUGAUAUUGGUACAAGCACUACUGCAUUUUGGUAACUACACAAGCAUUUCUGUGCUUUAAAGUUGCUUACUUUAUUAUCAAGAAUCAAAACUUGUGAUGAAUAUUUUGUUAGUUUCUUUCAAUUAUCGUUUUUGUGAUUUUGUAAUAUAUGUGAUCAGGAUAGUGAACUAGCUGAUCUUGCAAUCUGUAUUUAAGCUGAUAACAAUGGCCGAUCGGAAAGGUAAUGUGAAGCCUGCGAAUGGGAAGGCAUCUGGAACUACGGCGGGGAGCUCCAGUGCAUAUGUGAUUGAUGUUAAUAACUUCAGCAAGCGGCUGAAGCUGUUGUAUACGCAUUGGGAUGAACACCACAGUGGUCUAUGGGGUAACUCGGAUGUGCUUGCUAUUGCAACUCCUCCGACUUCAGAUGAUCUGCGGUACCUGAAGUCGUCGGCGUUGAAUAUCUGGUUGGUGGGGUUUGAGUUCCCGGAUACUAUCAUGGUGUUCACGAAGAAGCAGAUCCAUGUUUUGUGUAGCCAGAAGAAGGCCUCUCUGCUGGAUAUUGUGAAGAAGCCUGCGAAAGAGGCGGUUGGUGUUGAAGUUGUGAUGCAUGUGAAGCUCAAGAGUCAGGAUGGAACGGGGAUGAUGGAUAGCAUUUUUCAAGCUGUGAAGGCCCAAUCGAGCUCUAGUAGUAGAUCUAACCCUGUUGUUGGACACAUAGCAAGAGAGGCUCCGGAAGGGAAGCUUUUGGAGACUUGGAUGGACAAGUUGAAUAAUGCUAAUUUCGAGUUAGCUGAUGUAACAAAUGGGUUCUCAGACUUAUUUUCUGUCAAAGACUCCUCUGAGCUGACGAAUGUGAAGAAAGCUGCAUUCUUGACUUCUUCGGUGAUGAGGAGUUUUGUGGUACCUAAGCUUGAAAAAGUCAUUGAUGAGGAGAAGAAAAUUUCACAUUCGUCACUGAUGGAUGAAACAGAAAAGACCAUAGUGGAACCUGCAAGAAUUAAGGUGAAGCUGAAGGCAGACAAUGUUGAUAUUUGUUAUCCUCCAAUUUUCCAGAGUGGCGGAGGAUUUGAUCUAAAACCAAGUGCUUCAAGCAAUGAUGAGAAUCUUUGCUAUGACUCUACCAGUGUAAUUAUAUGUGCUGUUGGAUCACGGUACAACAGCUACUGCUCAAAUGUUGCUCGAACGUUUCUGAUUGAUGCGAAUUCUACACAGAGCAAAGCUUAUGAGGUUCUGCUUAAAGCUCAAGAAGCAGCAAUUAGUAAAUUGAAAUCUGGGAACAAGUUAUGUGCCGCAUACCAAGCUGCAGUUUCAGUAGUUGAAAAGGAGGCUCCAGAGUUGGCUGGGAACUUGACUAAAACAGCAGGAACUGGAAUUGGCCUUGAGUUUCGUGAGUCCGGUCUUAAUCUGAAUGCCAAGAAUGAUCGGAUUUUCAAACAAGGCAUGGUUUUCAACGUGUCUCUUGGUUUUCAGAACUUGCAGGCACAAACAAAAAACCCAAAGACCCAGAUAUUUUCACUAUUAUUAGCAGAUACAGUUAUUGUUGGUAAAGAGAGCCCUGAAAUUUUGACUAAUGUAAGCUCUAAAGCUGUGAAGGAUGUGGCUUACUCAUUCAAUGAUGAUGACGAUGUUGAAGAAGAGAGGACAAAAAUCAAAGCCGGUAAUAAAACUCCUGGGAGUACCAAGAGUAAGGCCACACUUAGGUCAGACAACCAUGAAAUGUCAAAGGAAGAAAUACGGAGGCAGCAUCAGGCAGAACUUGCCCGCCAAAAGAAUGAAGAAACUGCUAGGAGGCUUGCUGGUGGGGAUUCUGCAGCAACAAACAAUCGUGGUGCUGGCAAGACAAUUGGUGAUCUGAUUGCAUAUAAGAAUGUCAAUGAUCUGGCUCCUCCAAGAGAGUUAAUGAUUCAGGUUGAUCAGAAAAAUGAAGCCAUCCUCGUGCCGGUUUAUGGAAACAUGGUUCCUUUCCAUGUAGCCACCGUGAAGAGUGUUUCCAGCCAUCAGGACACUACCCAGGACAGUAACCGAAAUUGCUACAUCCGUAUAAUCUUUAAUGUACCUGGCACUCCAUUUACUCCUCAUGAUGCAAAUUCCCUCAAGUUUCAAGGAUCAAUUUAUUUGAAGGAAGUUUCGUUCCGCUCUAAAGACCAAAGGCAUAUAAGUGAAGUAGUACAGCUUAUUAAAACCCUUCGCCGCCAGGUUGCCUCAAGGGAGUCUGAAAGAGCUGAGAGGGCAACUUUAGUUACACAGGAAAAGCUCCAACUAGCCGGAGCCAAAUUCAAGCCAAAGAGAUUGCCUGAUCUAGAGAUUCGUCCCAGUUUUGGUGGUCGUGCUAGAAAGCUCACAGGAUCAUUGGAAGCCCAUGCAAAUGGGUUACGGUAUACUACUUCAAGGUCUGAUCAGCGUGUGGACGUUAUGUUUAGCAAUAUCAAACAUGCAUUUUUCCAGCCAGCAGAGAGGGAAAUGAUUACCUUGGUCCACUUUCAUCUGCACAAUCACAUUAUGGUGGGAAACAAAAAGACCAAGGAUGUACAAUUUUAUACAGAAGUGAUGGAUGUAGUCCAGACACUUGGUGGUGGAAAGAGGUCUGCCUAUGAUCCUGAUGAGAUUGAGGAAGAGCAUCGUGAGAGACAACGAAAGAACAAAAUUAAUAUGGAGUUCCAGAACUUCGUGAACCGAGUAAAUGAUUUGUGGGGGCAACCUGAGUUCAAAUCUCUUGACCUCGAGUUUGAUCAGCCCCUUAGAGAGCUUGGCUUCAAUGGAGUACCUCAUAAAUCCUCAUGUUUCAUCGUCCCAACUUCAAGCUGCCUGGUGGAGCUGAUAGAGACACCGUUUGUGGUAAUUACUCUAAGUGAGAUUGAAAUAGUGAACCUUGAAAGAGUUGGUCUAGGGCAAAAAAACUUUGAUUUGACUAUUGUAUUCAAGGACUUCAAGCGGGAUGUAUUUAGAAUUGAUUCCAUCCCAUCAACAUCACUAGAUGGCAUCAAGGAGUGGUUAGACACAACUGAUCUCAAGUAUUAUGAGAGCAGGUUGAAUCUUAAUUGGCGGCCUAUACUGAAGACCAUUACCGAUGACCCUGAAAAGUUCAUAGAAGACGGUGGAUGGGAAUUCUUGAACUUGGAGGUGAGUGAUUCUGAUUCUGACAAUUCUCAGGAGUCAGACCAAGGGUAUGUGCCUUCAGAUGUACAGUCAGAAUCAGGUUCAGAAGAUGAGGAUGAUGAGAGUGAGUCAUUGGUGGAGUCCGAGGAUGAUGAGGAAGAAGAGUCUGGAGAAGACUCGGAAGAGGAAGAGGGAAAGACAUGGGAAGAGUUGGAGAGGGAAGCGACCCAUGCAGACAGGGAAAAAGGAAAUGACUCCGACAGUGAAGAGGAGAGGGCAAGAAGGAAGGUGAAGUCUUUUGGAAAAUCUCGGGUACCAGACAAGAGAAACCUUGGUGGCAGCCUUCCUAAGAGGCCCAAAUUUAGGUGAGUUUUGACAAAGUAUGCAGCAGUUUGAGCCUUUGAGCCACAGCAUGACUGGCCAUUUAAUUACCAGUAUUAUAGGAAUUCUAUUUGCUGAUAUUAAAGAAAAAGUAAUAAAUAUAAAAAAGAAAAAAAACAAUCGACAGGGCUUUUGUUUUACAUUUGUUGUUCGACUUGUAUGUUAGAACUGACCAACUUUUGCAAAAACUAGUCAAAAAUUACGUACGGUUCAUAAUUUCAUAUGUGCAUGUAUUGGCAACCGAAAUUACAUGUGUUUUGUGUGUUUGUUUCAUCAAUCCAUGUAUUUUUUUUUUGGUUUGUUUCAUGAUUUUCAUCAAUUCAAUUCUUGAAUCGUAUACUCAUGUAUUGGACUUAAAUGUAACGUAUGUGUUCUAAGGUGCUUUGCAACCCCAUUCCUACUCUCCCCAUGGAUUAUGAUCUCCAAUUCAUUCAACAACAGUUCAACUUUGAAUGCUCUCAAAAAGUUCAACUUUGAAAAGACAGGUUCAGACCGUUAAAGGAUAUUGCAAAGACAAUGGUGACCAUGAUCAGAGACAGCUUCGAAAUGCAUAGAAAAUUGCUGUAAAUUUCACCGGCAAUUAUCCCAACCAUGAAUAAACUUGCACUAUAUUGCUACAAAUGCCAAUGAUACAAGCACACAUAACCGUGCAGCAACUCAGUAUACAACAGAUUGCACACUACAGACGUUACAAAUGAGCAUGUUUUCACAUUCCAAAAUGAAUAACUGUAUGAUACACGAGUCGCGCCACAACCAUGGAGUCCGAAAGUCUUCUUUUAUGACUUGACAUCUUUUAGGACUCCCCCCUUUUCAAGCUCACCAACUAAAUCCCUUAAUGAGGGAACUUUCAUGGCUAAUGUCCGAUACAGCCGAGAAUACCUAGCUCGAGUUCCAUCUGCAGUCCUUGCCAAGGCAAGCACGCUUAGAGCCUCAGGGAGUUGGGAGAAUACAUGUUUCAUCUCCUCGAGGCCCAUAUUCUCUAGAACCGAAGGUCUUGGGACAACCCUCACAAUCUCACCACCUUUAGGCUCUUGAAUCUUGGAAUCUGCUUUGAUAACUAAUUCUGAAUUUGAGUUUGCUCCACACUUGAUGAUGAAUGGGGUUGUUGAGCCUGUAUUGAACUGUAGGACAUUCCAUUGGGCCACAUCAGUUUCAGUACCAUAUCCGAAAUCUGUAGAUGGUUUGCGAGCAUGUGAUUGUUCAUGAAGACCAUCAUCUUCUUCAGGAAUGGACUGCAAGCAACAUAGAAGUUAAAGCGGGUGAACAAACAAAAAAGUACAAUACAUUGUAAGGGAAAUGUAUAAAUGCACUGAAGGAAAAGAAGAACUUGAUAUAUCAGUUAGAAAGAGGCUUUUUUAACUUCAAUACUCAAGACCAAAGUAGGGAAUACAAAAGGAUCCAUGAUUGUAUAUGCGUUUGCUUGAACCCGUUCUUGUCUUCAAGCUACUAAAUGAGUUUGUAUUGAGCUCAAUUUCAGUUCACUUCUAUUGUUCCAGUAAUUACAGUUACUGGAAACCUUACUUAGGUUGAAUGAACAGAGCAGGUCCAAAAAGAGCAUAAUAAGAUUCCAGAUAGGAAAACCGCAAUAGACAACCAAUGAAAAACAACGAUGAGAAAGAAGUGAGAGUGCAAAAAAGAAAGUUAACAUGGCAAUUUAAUAUCUAAUUUCUUUUUCUAUCUUUUGUUUAUUAAUGACGAAUUGGUUUCACUAUCCAGAAUUCUCCCUACAGCACAUAAUGUAGCUUCUGUACUAGUCACGCUCGUCCAUACAGCAUUUUGUAACUCAAUUGCAAAAAUUGAAGAAGCAUAUGCCAAAUAUGUAUAUCUAAUGAUUCAGCAUUUCGCAGAUACCUGAAUCACAUGACGAGCAUCUGAAAUUUGCCUUUGUGCACAUGGAUGAUCAAUCUCCAGAAGGGAAGGCAUUCGUUCGGCAAGUUCAUCUAGAGAAGCAAGCAAUAGUUUUUUUUUACUCCUGCUCAAGGUGCUUACAGAGGAUUGUCGCAUUAUAUCCUGCAAUGUAGACAUAUUAUGAGUUCUCCUUUCCAACAAUACCCCAAAUCAAUAAGGAAAACACGAAAACUGCAAGGAGGCAAACCUUGACUUGCUUCACUAUGCCAUCAAGGGAAAUGAGAGAUGCUAAUCGUGCAUCUUCAGCCGCAGUAGAGGGAUUCUGAAUAGGCGGACCUCCAUCUUCCAAUGUCAAUAAGGCUGCAUCACUUCUUAUUUGUUGCAGAAUCUGAUAAAACCAUAAAUUAGCACAAUAUCCGAGAAUUUGUUUGUCAAGAGUCUAGAAUAGAAUUACAGAGGCAGUAAUAGAAUUAUAUCAUUUUUCCUUGUAAGGUUGUUCGUUUCAUUUCAAGAUGUGCAGAUAAAAAAGGACUACCUUUCUCCUUUUGUGAUCAACCGACUCAAGAGCUGAUCGCAGUUUCGCAACUUGUGCUGCAUCUUCUGCCCCUUCUGAUGCCAAUGUCCCAGCAAUGUCCUAGAAUAUAAAAAGAGAAAUUGAAAAGACAACCAAUAAUUCAUUGAUAGAGAUUCCGCAAGUGUUUAUUAUCAAAGAAGUAAUUCAGCCCUCACACAUUUUGAUGGACCAAAAGAAAAAAGUAAAAUUUAUAUCAGCAAAAAACUCAAGAAUGCUAUCUACCUUCAAGUGCUGCAACUGAGAACUAUAAACCCGCUUCGAAUACUCAGAUAGAAGUUGACCAAGAGCAUCUGUAUUUGGAGGAAUUGCAGCACCAAGUCCAGCCAUCCAACCAUCCAUUAUUGCAGUUGAAAGAAGUUCCAAUUGACCAGUUGCGCCUCCUGAUGCGUCAUCUCCCGUGACAGAGAGAAAGUCAAAAUGCUCUGCAAGCCAGGAUCUGAGUUGGCGCUGCAGCUCACCGGCUGGUGUAUGAACAAAGAGAGCAGCAAGAGCUUUAUUUCCAACUGCAAAAAUUUUUGCUUCCUCAUUUAUUUCCCUAAGCUUUCCUGCAGUUAUCUGCUGCCGUGGAGAGUCCUGUACAUUUAAGCGCUUAGAGCCACGUCUUAUAAACCAUUUCUAGCAAAAGAGAACUGUAAAAGCAAAGUGCAAAACUAUUUAGAGUACGUGUACUUUGGUAAUGAAAAAAAGGAGUAUCCAAAGACUUUAACAGAAGAGAGUACAACAAUCUCCUCCACUAAAAUAGAAAUAUUGGCUAAUCCUGUGGUCUGGCUUCUGUCUGUGUUGGAAGAAUUCUCUCCAAAUCCAGGAGAGAGAGAGAGAGAGAGAGAGAGAGAUAGAGAGAGACAGAGACAGAGAUAGAGGCAGAGAGAUAGAGAGACCACAACUUAUAGGAGCUACCUGAUCAAGUCCGCGUAUCUUUGAUACAACAGAUGAGAACUUGGAUUUCUUUUCUGGCUUUAGAUUCACUUUGAACCCUUGGACAUGCACAUCAACAUAGCUCACAGGAGAUCUUCCAGGGCUGCUACCCCGACUGGAGCUUCUACUACGUCCAGUAUUAGCCUUCUCUAGAAAAUUCUCAACGGGAGAAACCUGUAAAUAAAAAGAUGGAAAUACAGUAAGCACUAAAUCAUAUGCAGGGAAAAGAAAAAUAUAGCAACAAAGUGAAAAGUCACGUGACUUAUUUCAUUACCUUGAUGGACUGCAGCUCUGGUGAUCUAGCAAGCAAAGAUCUAAUAUACAAAAUUCUAACACGGGAUACAAGCAUGGUAUCCAUUACCCGCUGCGGUUCCAUUUUACGAAUAAAAGAGAAAACAGCAUCUCUUAUUUCAGCAAGUAUUUCAUGCUCCCUAGAAGCCCCAGCUUUAAUUACUGCAGCCAGAACCUGUAAGAGAGAUUACAUGUGCACAUCAAACUUGAAUAAUAACGAAUUACCAAUAUGAAAACUAGAUGCAGCGUGUUCGCAGAAAUGAUAAAAAUAAUCAUCCCCACCAAGCCAAUCAACUUGGUGGUAACGUUUAUUUUUUGGUUGAUAUUUUUUUCUUUUGGUAAACGGAAGUUACAUAUGACAAAAGUUAACCAUCAAUAUCUCAUAUUAAGACAUUAUGACACAUCCAUUAUCAUUGCACAUUAUCAUAAAUGAAACAAAUAAAGCCAAUGACCAACCUACCAGCAUCAAAAGUUUGUUUGCACCAUCUGAAAUGGCAGCAAGACUGUCGUGUUGUUCAGGGUCAAAAUCAUUCAAGGCAGAAGUUAGAUAUUCUCCUGCAGGGGUAGUUUUGACUUUCUCAAGACCUGAUUUUACCAGGGCAACUGUACCAUCAGUUUUAUCUGCAGUAACUGCUAGUGAUGAAGGAACUUCCAUCGACUGCCCUCUACUAUCAUUCCUGUUUUAAAGUAAUGAAAAGAAAGUUUAGUGAAAAUCUUCUUUCUAGGAGAAGCAAACUGUUGAAAAGUAGAUUAUAAGACAAAAAUUAUAAACACUUAAGUAUUACCUCCCAAGGUCCCGAGACUGAACAUUUAGCAUCCCCUUUGAUAAUGGACUUGACAACUGAGAGAGAAAAUUACAUAAUCAGAAUUCUUGAAUAAUCCUAAAUCUCACAUCCAACCAAAAGAAAUUGAUGUGUACACAGUUUAUCUGAUCAACACGGCAUCAGAAGUAAGGGAAAAAAAGUGAUAGUUUCCACAAGACGUCACAUCAGAGAUAAUGAAAAUUCAUAUGACAUCACGCUUCUGCUAUUAAAACAUUUCAUAGUUGGAAAAUCCCCAAACUUUUCAUUUAUCCAAUGGCAUAAAGAAUAAAAGAAAUACAUAUUAAUACAUGAAAUAGCUACCAUGGAGUCAGAGACUCUGCUUCUGAUGAAACAAGAAAGUCUAUGUAUGCAACAAUAAGGACAUCAGAUGUGAUUUGACAAACAAACGGGGAAAGAUGGAGGAGGGCGGGACGACAAGAACAACAACAACAUAAUGAUGUAGCACAGUAGCAGAUACAUAGGAGUGCGUGUGUGAUUUGAAACUGUAUAACAAGAUGUCCUCCAAAAAAAUUUAAUGAAAAUGGAAUAGAAGAAACCUGUGGUGGUGCAGCCAAAGAUGCUUUCUCUGUUAAUCUAUCGAACAACUUUUCAUUUUCUUCAUGCAACCUCUGAAGAGAGAGCAUAGUAAUCAUUUCAGAACCAACCAGAACAGUACAAGCAUACUAAAUGACAUUUGAAAAUAUAUAAAGAGACCACAUUUUGAUGCACAGAUGAAAAACCAUGAAUGAAAUAGGAGACUACUACACAACAAAACUACUUAUUCCAAAGGACUGCAGUUUUUAACUUUUUAUGAGUCAAUUUAAUUUGAAACAAAAUACAAGAAAAGCAAAACCAGAGGUAAGUUCAAAGGAGACCAGAACAUAAUCAUGCCUUGUGUGUCGUUACAGUAGUUUUUGCAUUGUAAAUAAAAGAAAGAAGUCCAUAUCGGGAAUAUUCACGCUUGUAGCAUGACGUUCAAAGGCAUAGCUACAUGGGCAUCAGAUAAGUACUUGACCCUGCUCACCAGCUUGACAGAGUCCAUUAUGUCAUUAAGUUUUUACUUUUAUAUAAGAAAAGUAAGUGGUUUUGCCCCUUCUAAAGCAAUAAAAUAGUUAUUUUUAAAUAAUUUUGUGACACCUGAUUCUAAAAAAUACUUUGUUUCUUUGGUAUCUAUUCUUCUCCUUCUCUUCCGAUCCUCUCCUUAAUUUGUUUAUCAUUCUUUUUUACAAGUUUGUUCUUUCUUUUUUCCAGUUAUUAUCAUAGGAAGAAACUUCAGGGAAAUAUAUCUUCUUUCUACCUCGUUAGAUGAUUAUUUGUGGAUUAGUAUAAAGUAUUUUAAAACCACCCAGUACUAGCUAUGUAAGUUUGACCACUCUUAACAAAAAUUUUGGCUACAGCACUGAUGAGAUCUAUAGAAUGGAUAAUACAUGGAUACUCUCUGAUAACUCCAGACUUCAAUACAUGCCCCGUUCUGAUUCAUUGUAUUUCGAACAGGAUGGAUAAAACGUACUCUAGCCCAUAUACAAUUUCUUCUUCUUUUUCCAGUACCUAGAAUUCCCCAGAACCCACUUCGUGGACCAGGGAUCAGAAAUGAACUGAGACCUCCUUUCAAACCCUUUAAGCCAUAUGAGAUACGAAACUCUAGAAAAUAGACAGGUAGAUACAGUGAGGGUGUCCGUAAUGCACAUAACACAGGAGCAAACCGUGGCCUUAACGGUUCCUACUAACCCCUCAUUGUCUAGCCCAUGUACAGAAAACAAUGCUAACAAAUAUAAGAGGCCAUGUUUGGAUGUCUUGGCAAUCCAUGAUCACUGAGUAACUAGCAUUAUUUUACACAGAAAACAUGUAGACUUACGGCCGAACAGCAUACCUCUAUUAAUGCAUCCCGUUUUUUAAGCUCCUCUUCCAGUUUCUUAGUUACAGGCGGAGAUUCCAUGUCAUCCCCAGUUGCCUUGGAAUUUGACAGAGUUGCAGACCCCAGUUCUGAGCCUAAUGUUGACCGGCCAUCAUGGGAAUGAAGAGCUUCAUUGAGUUUGGAUUCAAUACUCUUAACUUUGUCCUGAACCAGCAGUUAAACUUAGAGAACACCAUACAGUGCAACCUUGCAAACUAAAAUUUCUUGAUCAAUAAAAUAAUUAAAAUAUAAAACUGAAACUUCUAUAUAAGUGAUGUAACUAUAGGUCCAUUCAUUCGACCCCUUUUAACAAUAUAAUGAAAUUGAACGUCAAAACAUCCACUUGACAAUGAAAAAAGUGCCACCAAUACUUUAAUGAGGAAACCACAUACAGCAACAUACAUCUAUAACUAUUUUAACUAUGAUUGGGCUGAAUUAUAUCUCAUACAAUGUCGAACAAUAGCCAUGCAAACAAAGCCCAACUGCUGACCCCCACAGUUUUUUACAGUAGUUGAAGGCGAACAUUAAACUCUAACAGAAGUAAAUGGGAAUAAUAAGCAGACAUAACCAACCUGCAGAGCCUGAAUCGUAGAAUCUCGCUGUUCAAUCUGUAUCUUUUGGUCUUGCUCUACCUGUAACAGUUGAGCAACUUGGUUUCUAAGCUGUGCGUUUUGUUCCCUUUCUAUCUUUUGCUUAUCCGCAAGCAUAAUAUUCUCUGACUGCAUCAAAUGAGAAUAUUAACCAGUUUAGCAGCUACAUGAUCAAUAACAAAUCAAACUAUCAAAGUAGAUGGAAAAACACCAACAACGCAAUAAUAAAUAGACUACUUGAAUCAACUGUAAAGAAAUUCAUCAACUGGAGUUGCUGAACUAAGAAGCCAGAAUGCAUUAAGAUUAGUUAUUAAUCUUGAACAUCUUCAAAGUUUUAAGCAAGUAAGCAACUGAGUUGGGAAGAAAUUUUUCUGACUUCCAGUAACAUGUAAGGCAGUCUUUAUUUUAUCUUUAAGAGAAAGAAAAAAAUCGGAACAUGACAUAAAGAUAAACAGCAUAAACCAGAAAGCUACACCAAAUAUGAAUGAUAAAUUAACAGUAGACAUGAGGCCCAUUAUUAAGAGAAACAAACAGCAUAAACCAGAAAGCUAGACCAGAUGUGAUUACUAGCAACAACCAGUACCGUCCAAGUCAAUUUGAAAACCUUAGGAAAUUACACAACCUUUAAAUCCGACUGCAAUGUAUAAGAAACUUUCCACGCCUUCUGGACUUCAUUGAAGAGCAAGACACACUGAUCAUUAGCAUCCUUCAGUGCAUGUUUAAGUCCCAAAACUUCUUGUUUCAGAUCUUGACAUUCUUUUUCUUUUUCAUACAACUCCCUGCGUGCAUCAUUUGCCUACAAGAGCAAUCACAAAUUCAGAAUCAAAAAUCGAUUUUAUAAUCUUUACUCAUAUCAGUGUGUUAACUGGUACAAACUCAAGAAGUAAAUUGUCUUGAAGGAAUUAUGAACUAAGCAAGUUUAUAUUGGGACUCCAGGUUUAAAUUGAUGAAAUGGUUAUUUCUAUACCAAGAUUAAAUUAACUUUUUUGUCUCAUUUUAAGCAUUUAAUUAACUCCUAACAGCAAUAACUCAAGUCCAGAGAGAGAAAGAUAAAUAUGAUAAAUAAAGAGAGAGGAACUCACUGUAUCUCUCCAUUUCUUAAUUGUAUCUCGAUUACCAAGGCUUAGAACAGCAUUUCGAGCUCUAGAAGCAAAAUUGAGGGAUGAUAAUGUCUCCGACAGAUUCAACGCAUUUGGACAGACGUUAACAAUCAUCAGAGUUUUUGAACUUCCACCUGCAGAAGGUUUACACGAUGGUCAAUCUGACACAAUAACCAUCAAACCAGGCAACCAGAAAAGUAAAUAAAACAAUUUUCGUUACUAUUGCUCUUUCAUCGUAGAAUGAUAUAUGACCAAAAUCAGUUAUAAGUUAUAACAUAAAUGUCAAAACAGCUCUGGAUAAGGUGGUUUAGUAAUAAAGAAAAGAAAAAAAAGGAAAUAGGAUUACCUAGUGAGUCUGCAAGUACUUUAGUGAGCAUUGAAUUUUCAUAAGGGAUAGCAUCCUUUUUCGAAGUCAAAGAAGACAAUACAUCUCCCAAUCUGCAUGCACAACAUCAAAUGCAAUUGAGUACAGGAAAACAGGAGUAAAUUAGAAGCAACAACAUUUUGCACAUUAUAAAAAGAGAUGAUACAUCAACAGAUGCAGUGUUCAUGCAAAAACUCAGCAUGGGCUGAAAAAAAAAAUCUAACUUUCGUUGCAAUAAACUAAAAACUCUUAUUAUCAUCAAAACAUACGCUGAAAGUGAUUUCAUGACAUGCAGCAAGUCCGUCACACGCUCACUGCUAUCAUCUUCAGCAAUUAAGCCUUCACUUCCAGCUAAGUCAACCAUAGAGAGCUUGCUGUAUGUAUUUUCCCCAGUGAUCAAAUUAUUGUAGUAUAUAUGUAUUGUGAUGAUCCUGAGAAUAGAGAAACCAGAAAUCCACCUCAGAUAAGUUAUUUUAUCUUACGUAUAACCAUAAACUAAGAAUUGCUAUUAAUUUAUACAUGAAGUUUAACAAUACAAACUUUGGUACAUACAAAUGAGAAACGUUGAACUUUGAGGGAUCAUUUCCUCGUCUCUGAAAUGCAGCUUUCAAUACUUUAGAGAAGUCCAGUGGGUUAUCAACUUUUUCCUGGACAAGUUCUACAAAAAAAUCUGGAGACCCCAUGCGAAUCUUUGGCAAAGCAUCUCCUGAUUCUGAGAGUAAAUCCCUAAUCUAAAACAACAAUGAUGGAUUCAGAUCAAAACUACGAUGAGAACACCAUGCUCGAAAACCAUUUAGAUAAACCAGAAACCAGUAUAUAUUUGUUAGAAUUACACACCUGUUCAUUGUAGAGCUCAAAAACUGUAACAGAGAACUUGAAUCUAGAAGUAGAAGUUGUAUCAGAAUUGGCUAGAUCAAAUAGCUCCUCGAACGAACGAGCAUAUAAACCACGGUCAUGGCUAGAACCUUCCUGGAAAUUGUCAAAAACGGCCAAAUAUCAUUAAGUUGUUGUUUGAAGUGAACGUGAUAGAAUUGAAACUACUCUGAUUAAAAAUGAAAUGGGCAAAAAGUAUCAUAACAAUAAUUUUAAAGUAAAUUCUGCCUAUUUCUAGAUGAAAGAUGAAGAAGGGAUACUUCACAGGGAUUUAAGGUUCAAUCAAUGGUCAAGAAUCACUUUUAGUUUGUUUUGAAAAUUUGUUGCAUGAUUUACAAAUAUCAAUCGUUUCAUACAGGAAUUUUAGAAUAAACUUUUGAAGUUAUAAGACCUUUAUAGCAAUAUAGCAGUCUAUGAUGGAUCGCAUGUUGACAUAGACACACAGAAUUAUAAGAAUGAGACGACAAAAGCUCAGAAAGAAAGAGAGAGGAAAAGAGAGUAACCAUAGUGUGUGUCUUUCCUGAGUUGGUUUGCCCAUAAGCAUAGAUGGAAACAUUAUAUCCAUCCAAUGCUGAUUGCACCAAUGGCUGAACAUCACGGAAAAGUUCAGCUGACAAACAAAAUAAUGACAGAGAUAUUUUAGAAACACACGUACAAUAACGCCGGUGUAUAUAAAUGUGUAUAUAUAUAUAUAUAUGAUGUAGGACAACAGCAAUGUGAAGGAGAAAAUAGUGAAAGAAUAAAAGGUUUUCUCACCUUGUCCAACAUGAGGUCCAUAAACUCUAUCGAGUUCAAAUUCCUUCUUGGGGUUGGCCAAGGCUGCAUCACCAGUGGUGACACGGAUAUUGCAAUCAUCUGGAUAUUCAACAACUGAGGGACCUUCAUCCUCGAAUAAUGGUCGUGUACGACAAUAUACUUUAAUGUUCCCUGGAAUUAAAAAUGCUAAUUAAAACCGACUGCCACAUUCAAAUUUUGUAACCCUGACAACACUUGAACAACUUUGCAGCAUAACUUAAUGUGAAAAAAAAUUAAUGCUGCAUACAUGUGUGUUUGUUUGAGUGUGCGUGUGUCCAAAUGAGAGAGAGUUCCAAAAGAAGAAAACUCACAGAAGAUGAGUACCUUUGGCUGUCAAUAAGUCAUUGAACAACCUUCUCUUCUCAUUGAUCAGCGGAGCAAUUCUAGCCUCGGUUUCAAGCGCAAACUGAUCUGAAAUUUUCCAACACAAACUUUCAAAACAGCACUAAAAACCUUACAAAAAGUAACACGGAGAGCAACAACCUACAUCCUUACCUAGCUUUCGGGUUUUUGCAGCAAGAACACCAAGAUACCGAGUAACUCUUUCGAGUUUCGCAUUCGAAUACUCACUCAACUCACUCGCUUCUUGUCUCAGCUCCAAGUAAUCCUCUUUCGCAAGCUGUCCAAUCAAAUCAAACACUACAAUCUUCACUAAACCAGCUUCAACGAGCUCAAAGCCCAAACAUUUACAGCUCAAUUUUCAAAAUGCACUUCAACAAAACCACUAAUCAUCUCGAUUAACCAAACCGCCAUACCUUAACUUUAUCCUGAAGCUUCUGGAGCUUGGACGCCACGGACUGGUUGGAAAGCUCGGACUGAGCCAACGCCGUGGCCGCCGAGAUCGAGUACCUCCUCCCGGGCCUGUAACCGUCGUCGUUGUCCGCCGUCGUCGUCGUCGACGAGGAGCUCGACCAUUUCCGUGGCUCGAAGCCACUGACCUCCCAGUUCCACUUGCUCCUCUGCUCCGCCAUUGUUGAAAAAACCUAGAGAGAAUUUGAAAUCGGCGAUUUCAAAUUUCCCCAAAUUUGAAAAGCAGAGGAAAAUGGCUUUUGGCUCUGGUGGACCUAGAGAAUUGGGAUCAUCUAUAUUUUCAAGUUUUUUUUUUUU
rnacentral:lncRNA from 1 species